rnacentral:rRNA from 1 species
AGUGAACGCUGGCGGUAGGCCUAACACAUGCAAGUCGAGCGGCAGCACAGUAAGAGCUUGCUCUUACGGGUGGCGAGUGGCGGACGGGUGAGGAAUACAUCGGAAUCUACUUUUUCGUGGGGGAUAACGUAGGGAAACUUACGCUAAUACCGCAUACGACCUACGGGUGAAAGCAGGGGAUCUUCGGACCUUGCGCGAUUGAAUGAGCCGAUGUCGGAUUAGCUAGUUGGCGGGGUAAAGGCCCACCAAGGCGACGAUCCGUAGCUGGUCUGAGAGGAUGAUCAGCCACACUGGAACUGAGACACGGUCCAGACUCCUACGGGAGGCAGCAGUGGGGAAUAUUGGACAAUGGGCGCAAGCCUGAUCCAGCCAUACCGCGUGGGUGAAGAAGGCCUUUGGGUUGUAAAGCCCUUUUGUUGGGAAAGAAAAGCAGCAGGUUAAUACCCCGCUGUUCUGACGGUACCCAAAGAAUAAGCACCGGCUAACUUCGUG